rnacentral:rRNA from 1 species
UACGGGGGGGGGCAAGCGUUGUUCGGAAUUACUGGGCGUAAAGGGUUCGUAGGUGGCCAACUAAGUCAGACGUGAAAUCCCUCAGCUUAACUGGGGAACUGCGUCUGAUACUGGAUGGCUUGAGUUUUGGGAGAGGGAUGCGGAAUUCCAGGUGUAGCGGUGAAAAUGCGUAGAUAUCUGGAGGAACACCGGUGGCGAAGGCGGCAUCCUGGACCAACACUGACACUGAGGGAGCGAAAAGCGUGGGGGAGCAAACAGG